rnacentral:rRNA from 1 species
UACGAAGGGGGGCUAGCGUUGCUCGGAAUCACUGGGCGUAAAGCGCACGUAGGCGGGUUGCUAAGUCAGGGGUGAAAUCCUGGAGCUCAACUCCAGAACUGCCCUUGAUACUGGCGGCCUUGAGUCCGGGAGAGGUGAGUGGAACUGCGAGUGUAGAGGUGAAAUUCGUAGAUAUUCGCAAGAACACCAGUGGCGAAGGCGGCUCACUGGCCCGGUACUGACGCUGAGGUGCGAAAGCGUGGGGAGCAAACAGG